rnacentral:rRNA from 1 species
GAACGCUAGCGACAGGCCUAACACAUGCAAGCGAGGGGCAGCACAAGGAGCAAUCUGAGGUGGCGACCGGCGCACGGGUGAGUAACACGUAUGCAACCUGCCUGUAAGCGGGGAAUAACCCGUUGAAAGACGGACUAAUACCGCAUAAUACUAAAUUACUGCAUGGUAAUUUAUUUAAACAUUUAUGGCUUACAGAUGGGCAUGCGCAUGAUUAGCUAGUUGGAGAGGUAACGGCUCCCCAAGGCAACGAUCAUUAGGGGUUCUGAGAGGAAGGUCCCCCACACUGGUACUGAGACACCGGACCAGACUCCUACGGGAGGCAGCAGUGAGGAAUAUUGGUCAAUGGACGAGAGUCUGAACCAGCCAAGUCGCGUGCAGGAAGAAUGUCCUUAAUGGAUUGUAAACUGCUUUUGCAGGGGAAUAAAGUGCAUCACGUGUGAUGUUUUGUAUGUACUCUGCGAAUAAGGAUCGGCUAACUCCGUGCCAGCAGCCGC